UCCCUAGUGGUCCAGUGGCUAAGACUCUGCACUUCCAAUGCAAGGGCCCAGGUUCAGUCCCUGGCUGGGGAA